UCCCAAAACUGAACCAUAGACGGACGAAUGAUGAUGUUGUUUCAUCUGAGAAUAAACAUGUAGUAAAAAUGACUCUUACAAAGUGAGAAACAUGGUUCAGAUUAAUGCAAAGAAAAGGUUAUAUGCAUUUGUGUUUGUUCUUUUUCAUUUGUUGUACAGUGACGUUAACACACUGCCACUUUCUGGCUGUAAUAUCAGCAUCAUAAACUCAGGGAUGCUAUCUAAGGUCGGGCGAUUGGACGAAUAUAUUGACUAUUGAUGAUAGGCUUUCACUGAUCAUUUUCACAAGGGCAAUUUAUUUAAUUAUGUAUUUAUAAUACAUGCAUUUCUAUUACAUGUCCAAAGACAUGCAGUUAGUGGGGAUAGGCUAAUUGAUCAAUCUAAAUUGUAUAGGUGUGAAUGCGGGAGUGAAUGUGAGCACGAAUGGUUGUCGGUCACUGUGUGUUGGCCCUGCGACAGACUGACAACCUGCCCAGGGUGUACCCCGCCUCUCGCCCAAUGACAGCUGUCAUAGGCUCCAGCAUCCCCUGCAAACCUGAAAAGGAUAAGUGGAAGCGAAUGUAUGGAUGUAUUUAUUUGCCCAUGAGUACGUUUGCUAAAAAUGUUGGGUGAAGCUCAGAGAAGCAGCCAACGGAAAAAAUAAUAGCGCUCUUCCAGCUGUGAGCAAAUGCACCCUCCCCAGAUGGCGCCCAAAUGUAGCGAUUCAUUUGCUCAAACUCAUGACAGACGGAAAGAAAGGUAGUCGCCCAUGUUCAGAAAAAAAAUGUAUUUAAAUUUUAAAAAAAAACCCAUAAUGGUGGGGAGGGAAUCAAAGAGAACUGUGCUUACAGGCCGAUCCAGUGUUUGUCUGUCUUACACACUUGACCACACAACAAAUACAAAAUAAAACAAAAAGCAAGUUAAAAAUCCAAAUGUCUCUUCCAGCGAACAUAAAAAAAUCUCAGACGUAAAGUUAGGUCUUUUGUGCAAUCUCAAAUAAGUAUAUAAAUAAGUAAAUAAAUAAAUAAAUGAAUAAAUGAAUAAUCCAAAAAGUAAUUAAUCCUGAAACAAACAAAGAAGAUAAAAUAUUCCCUCCAAACAAAACGUAUAGAGUCUAAAUGCGCAAAGCAGUCCGUGCGCAAUUACAUUGCUCCGCCCAUCAAAAGUCACCUGCUCGAAUGUAUCGCCUAUCGUUGGUUAUUGGACUGACGAUUGACAAUUUUUCCCUUUUUUUUCUUGCUAGAACAUCUAACAAGCAUGUCUGGGAAAACCUUCAUUUUGGGAUUUCUUUUGUCAGUUCACUACUCUGACAAGAUACAAGUCCUCUGCAAAAGUGUUAUCUAAAAAAAAAAAAUCCAAAACAAAUCCAAUUCCACACCCAGACUUCAAAGAUUAUUCAUCGCACAUUGUUCAGCUCCACAACAUGUUUCACAAAAUGCGGCGGGAAAAAUGUUCUUCCUGGCUGACAAGCGCAAACAAAACAGAAAUAACCGGAAAAUGAAAAAUACCUCAUCGGAGUAACAGCGGGUUAUAAAAAAAUAGUCUUUGCUUUAAAGUUAUGCAGAAUCGAAUAGUUAUAAGACUAAUAUAUCACUUGAUUUGGUGGGUUGCCUACAAAAUGCAAAUAUGAUUUCAAAAUACAAUUUACUUGUUACACAUGAUUGAUGCUUAUAAAAUAGAGCAAUGAUGAUACCGCAGUUGCACCUGGAAGAAAAGAAACUGGAAAAAGGAAAAGAAAAGAAAAAAACAAGUCUGAGUCAUUUUAUAACAGCCAGAAAUGAUGCAUGAUGUUGGCUGCAGGUGUGAAUCGGCUCCAAAAGUAGGUUAAUAAACCUAAUGGUGAAAAACGAGGUGACAAUAAACUAAUUGGCUGACAGAGCUCUUUUGAAGAAGUUUAUACUUCCACUAAAAUGAGGCGCAUCCAUUUUAAGCUGUCAGAUUAGCAGUCUGAAGAGUCUGAAGUUCCAGCAAACUCUGCAUCUUAUGAGCCUUUUUUUUUUCUCUGCAGUACCGUCUUCUCGGAUUUUGGACAUCAUCUACGUGCAGAUCCUUUACAUGGUGGCCUUGAGAAAUGAAACAGGCCAAUAUGGACCUCAAAGUAAAAAAUGACUUCAACAAACCCGUGACGAUCCUUUUUGGGGGAUCAAAUAGUUCAUCUAAAUGAAUAUCACCGUUUCUACAGAUCCCUUUGUGUCACACCGACAGUGAACUCACAAACCCCUGUCACUCAGUAUCUAAAUUAAC
ensembl:lncRNA